UAACAACCUGGAAACAGAUGCUAAUACCGGAUAACAACAGAUGAUGCCUAUCAACUGUUUAAAAGAUGGUUCUGCUAUCACUCUUGGAUGGACCUGCGGUGCAUUAGCUAGUUGGUAGGGUAACGGCCUACCAAGGCGAUGAUGCAUAGCCGAGUUGAGAGACUGAUCGGCCUCAUUGGGACUGAGACACGGCCCAAACUCCUACGGGAGGCAGCAGCC
rnacentral:rRNA from 1 species